rnacentral:rRNA from 1 species
GCCAAACAGCUAGCUCGACCACCUGAUAACUAAACAAUGUAUAUAAAACAAAAUAAGCCUAACGCUAAAAAUUAAACCAUUCUUUUACCUUAGUAUGGGAGACAGAAAAGGUCAUACCUGGAGCAAUAGAAAUAGUACCGCAAGGGAAAGCUGAAAGAGAAAUGAAACAACUCAUAUAAGCACAAAAAAGCAAAGAUUAAAUCUUGUACCUUUCGCAUCAUGAUUUAGCCAGUACACCCAAGCAAAGAGACCUUUAGUUUGAAACCCCGAAACCAGAUGAGCUACCCCGAGACAGCCUAUUAAGGGCCAACCCGUCUCUGUGGCAAAAGAGUGGGAAGAGCUCCGGGUAGAGGUGACAAAUCUACCGAACCUGGUGAUAGCUGGUUGCCUAAGAAGUGAAUAGAAGUUCAGCCUCGUGCUCCCCUAGUCAAGAGAUAUAGGAAAGAUGCUAGAGGGCAAUACACGAGAGUUAGUUGAAGGGGGUACAGCCCCUUUAACAAAGGACACAACCUUUACAGGAGGAUAAAGAUCAUAAUACGUAAAACAUCCUGUUCUAGUGGGCCUAAGAGCAGCCACCUAAACAGAAAGCGUUAAAGCUCAGACAGAAGCAAGUUUAUUAUUCCGACAAAAAAUCUUACUCCCCUUAAUACUAUUAGGCCAGCCCAUGCUCGCAUGGGAGAGACUAUGCUAAAAUGAGUAACAAGAAGGCCUGCCCUUCUCCAAGCACAGCUGUAAGCCAAAUCGGACCAACCAUUGGCAAUUAACGAACUCAACUCAAGAGAGCAAUGUGAAUUUCAACAAGACCGAGAAAGACCCACAGCGAUCAAUCGUUACCCCUACACUGGCGUGCUAUCAGAGGAAAGACUAAAAGAAGGGGAAGGAACUCGGCAAACACAAGCCUCGCCUGUUUACCAAAAACAUCGCCUCCUGCAACAAAACCAAGUAUAGGAGGUCCAGCCUGCCCAGUGACGAUAAGUUUAACGGCCGCGGUAUUUUGACCGUGCAAAGGUAGCGUAAUCACUUGUCUCUUAAAUGGAGACCUGUAUGAAUGGCCAAACGAGGGCUUAACUGUCUCCCCCUUCCAGUCAGUGAAAUUGAUCUAUCCGUGCAGAAGCGGG